rnacentral:rRNA from 1 species
GGAUGCGACCAUACCAGCACUAAAGCACCGGAUCCCAUCAGAACUCCGAAGUUAAGCGUGCUUGGGCGAGAGUAGUACUAGGAUGGGUGACCUCCUGGGAAGUCCUCGUGUUGCAUCCC